rnacentral:siRNA from 1 species
UUUACAAGCAUGGUGCAC